rnacentral:lncRNA from 1 species
GUGGCAAGGGUACCGGGGUGGGGUGAGGAUUUUCCCCAUUCGUGUGGGCCAGCAAGGCUUAGGUAGCGGCCGAUGGUUUCCGAGAAACUAUGCGCCAGCACCUUACUUGGAGCAGCUAGGUGUCACACCUCUGGCUGUAGGUGCACUACAGUGCCCCACUAUCCUGGACAGGAUUGAUGGAGGUGGGAGGCAAAAAUAAAAUGAAACAAGAUUAAAUUAAAAAUGGAGAGCUAGAGUUGUCAAGCUUCGAUUCUAACACCUCAUAAUAUCCUGAAGGAAGACAGAACUGGAAUAAUAAGGAUGGCCGCAGUUCUUCAUGCACGCACUGGUGAACAGAUUUCCAGCUGGAGGAACCGACUUUGUGCUUUAUUAGAACUGAAGCUCCACCUCCUUAGAUUCAGGUACAAAAUACUGGCAGAUGGGGGGGGUCAUGUUACCCUAUAGAACAUUUCUAUAGUGGCACCUCAAUUGUUAUGAAACAGCAUUCGCAGAGAGAUUUACUGAACACUAUUCCUCUUGGCUUUCCACCACCAAAUGAUGACUUAUUCAGGGCUUUGAAAUAAUUCAUCUUCCAAUCCCAGAGUCUUCAGCUUUCCUGACCCAACCAUCAGGGUUUCUCGGAACAGAAAUCUAAAACAUCUG